rnacentral:misc_RNA from 1 species
AAGUCGUAACAAGGUUUCCGUAGGUGAACCUGCGGAAGGAUCAUUACCUAGAGUUUUGUAGACUUCGGUCUGCUACCUCUUACCCACUGUCCUUUUGAGUACCUUUCGUUUCCUCCGGUCGGGUUCCCGCCCGGCCGGCAUUGGCAGCAACAUUUGCAAACCCAUUUCACUGCAGUUGCAAUCAGCGUCUGAAAAAACAUAAUAGUUACAA